rnacentral:rRNA from 1 species
UACGUAGGGAGCAAGCGUUGUCCGGAAUCAUUGGGCGUAAAGAGCGUGUUGGCGGCCUGAUAAGUCGGCUGUGAAAGUCAAGGGCUCAACCCUUGAAUGCCGGCCGAUACUGUCAGGCUAGAGUCCGGAAGAGGCGAGUGGAAUUCCUGGUGUAGCGGUGAAAUGCGCAGAUAUCAGGAGGAACACCUAUGGCGAAGGCAGCUCGCUGGGACGGUACUGACGCUGAGACGCGAAAGCUAGGGGAGCAAACGGG